GUGUAACGGGUUUGUCUGGAAAUAUACGUACCCAUAUUUUUCCACCGCGUCGUGCAUUUCGUGUCAUUGCCCUUCGUCCGGCUUCGAUUUGUCUAGAUGUGAUCCAAGCGGGUUCAAGUGCCUGAAUAGCGUAUCUCCCGAAGCAAAUACUAUUGCCUCGAUAAGAUAUUCCUUUCAUUCUUCCUCUAUGGUGUUUACGGAAUCUGGUUCUUUUAGGGUUAUAGUUGAUGGUUAUUUGUCAAUUCCAUCUCUACUACAGAACCGGACAUGAGAGUUUCUUCUCAUCCAGCUCCUCGCGAAUGAAACGAUUCAAAAAAAAAAUAUAAAUGUAUUUACUGCUAUUUACUGAAUAAUAGAUUCAAUUAUGGGAUUCUUUGAAAUUUCAUUUAAUCAAUCUAUUCGAAAUUUGUAUAUCUUCUUUUCUUUUGAUAGAAAACUAAACUCUUUAUAGAUUCUAGAAUAAUAGAAUAAUUUUUUUUUUAUUAUAGUUUUCUAAAAAAUUAUAGAUAAUAUAAUUUCGUUUUGUUAUUUUUUCUUUUAUUAUUAAGGUUAUAACAAAUCUUUAUUUUGUUUUACCUUUUCUUUUUUUUAUCUAUUAUUCUAUUUGAUCGACCCUAAUUUAGAAAUCUAAUAAAAUUGAAACGUUCGCGGGCGAAUAUUUACUCUUUUUAUAUGUGUUUUGGUUCUCGGGUUAGUUAGCCCAUGAACCCACCUCUCAUAAUAAAUGGAUUGGUCUUGGGUUCCUUCCGCCAUCCUACCCAAUGAAUUAUUAGGAUUCGUUUUCAAUAGAAUAUUAUGUAUUCACGGGUUUCCUCGUUCCCAUCGCCUCUCGAUUAAUGGUUAGGUCUUAAUUCUACAAUGGAGCCCGUAAUCAAAUUUGUUUUUGAGUCAAUCUUCUCAGUCUUUAUUGUCUCGGGGCUCUUGGCUUUUUUGUUCUAUGAACAGAUUCAUCUAAUUAUGAAUUCAUCAGUCUUAAUGCUUUAUUACACUACCUUUUAUGAGAUGACCCAUAGACCUUACAUAUUCCAUAUUGGAAUCAUAUAUCAUUCAUAUUCUUUUUCUCUCUUUCUUUCACCCUUCCAUUUAUCCGCAUACUUUUAUUUCUUCACAACUCAUAAUCGGAUUGUUUUUUUUUUUUUUUAUGCAAAAAAGAUUUCAGUUGCUACAAUGAUAUGAAAAAUAUAACAUAUCUUGACUGGUUGGUUUUUUAGAUCCAGAUAAUGCGAAGCGAUGAGUUGGUUAUUAGUUUUAUAAUUCUUAGUUCAGAUUAUGUAUGGGCUGAUCCUUUUUUAUUUUUUGGUUUUAAUCCGAACACCUAAAAAAAUAAAAAAACCGACGAGUCGCACACUAAGCAUAGCAAUUAUCUCAAAUGAUUAAUUUCAUUUUUAUUUAACCUUAUCGAAUUGCUCAUUUUUUAUUUAAAGGAAAAAGACUGAUUUGUCAUUUCUUGGUCGAUCAUUGAAUAAAACGUAAACACAAGUUAAGUAAGGGCUUAUUA
rnacentral:lncRNA from 1 species